AAGUCGUAACAAGGUUUCCGUAGGUGAACCUGCGGAAGGAUCAUUAUUGAAUGAACUUGGCAUGGUUGUUGCUGGUCCUCUCGGGGGCAUGUGCACACCUGUCAUCUUUAUCUUUCCACCUGUGCACAUUUUGUAGGCCAAAAAAUUUCCCGAGGCAACUCGGUUUGGGGGACUGCUGUGCAUCACUGCCGGCUUCCCCUGGAUUUUUGGGCCUAUGUUUUCACAUACACCAUAAGAAUGUAAUAGAAUGUUAUAUUGGGCUUUGUUGCCUAUAAACUAUAUACAACUUUCAGCAACGGAUCUCUUGGCUCUC
rnacentral:misc_RNA from 2 species